rnacentral:rRNA from 1 species
UACAGAGGCCCCAAGCGUUACUGAGAAUCACUGGGUUUAAAGGGUGCGUAGGUGGCGCGUUAAGUCCGUUGUGAAAUCCCUGGGCUCAACCCAGGAACUGCUUCGGAUACUGGCGCGCUUGAGGCCGGUAGGGGUCACUGGAACUGACGGUGGAGCGGUGAAAUGCGUAGAUAUCGUCAGGAACGCCGAUGGUGAAGACAGGUGACUGGGCCGGAACUGACACUGAGGCACGAAAGCGUGGGGAGCGAACGGG